CAAUAGCGUAUAUUAAAGUUGUUGCAGUUAAAAAGCUUGUAGUUGGAUUUCUGGUUGAAGCGACCGGUCGGGCGUUGAUUCGUCUGCACUGGAGUCGGUUUUGGCCAUCCUCUAGGAAAGUGCGUCUGGUAUUAAGUUAUCGGGCGUAUGAUCCUGGUCUUUUACUGUGAAAAAAUUAGAGUGUUUAAAGCAGGCCUUCGCCUUGAAUACAUUAGCAUGGAAUAAUAAGAUAGGACUUUGGUCUAUUUUGUUGGUUUGCAGACCGAAGUAAUGAUUAAUAGGGAUAGUUGGGGGUAUUUAUAUUCCGAUGUCAGAGGUGAAAUUCUUAGAUUUUCGGAAGAUAAACUUAUGCGAAAGCAUUUACCAAGGAUGUUUUCAUUAA
rnacentral:rRNA from 1 species